CAGGACGAACGCUGGCGGCGUGCCUAACACAUGCAAGUCGAACGGACGAGGGGAGCUUGCUCCCCAAGUUAGUGGCGGACGGGUGAGUAACACGUGAGCAACCUGCCCUUCGGAGGGGGACAACAGCCGGAAACGGCUGCUAAUACCGCAUGACAUAUCCUUGAGGCAUCUCGGGGAUAUCAAAGAUUUAUCGCCGAAGGAUGGGCUCGCGUCUGAUUAGCUGGUUGGUGAGGUAACGGCUCACCAAGGCGACGAUCAGUAGCCGGACUGAGAGGUUGAACGGCCACAUUGGGACUGAGAUACGGCCCAGACUCCUACGGGAGGCAGCAGUGGGGAAUAUUGGGCAAUGGGGGGCCAACCCUGACCCAGCAACGCCGCGUGAAGGAAGAAGGCUUUCGGGUUGUAAACUUCUUUGACGAGGGACGAUAAUGACGGUACCUCGAAAACAAGCCACGGCUAACUACGUGCCAGCCGCUGC
rnacentral:rRNA from 1 species